CGUGCUUAACACAUGCAAGUCGAACGAUGAACCUCAGCUUGCUGGGGGGAUUAGUGGCGAACGGGUGAGUAACACGUGAGUAACCUGCCCUUGACUCUGGGAUAAGCCUGGGAAACUGGGUCUAAUACCGGAUAUGACUCCUCAUCGCAUGGUGGGGGGUGGAAAGCUUUUGUGGUUUUGGAUGGACUCGCGGCCUAUCAGCUUGUUGGUGGGGUAAUGGCCUACCAAGGCGACGACGGGUAGCCGGCCUGAGAGGGUGACCGGCCACACUGGGACUGAGACACGGCCCAGACUCCUACGGGAGGCAGCAGUGGGGAAUAUUGCACAAUGGGCGCAAGCCUGAUGCAGCGACGCCGCGUGAGGGAUGACGGCCUUCGGGUUGUAAACCUCUUUCAGUAGGGAAGAAGCGAAAGUGACGGUACCUGCAGAAGAAGCGCCGGCUAACUACGUGCCAGCAGCCGCGGUAAUACGUAGGGCGCAAGCGUUAUCCGGAAUUAUUGGGCGUAAAGAGCUCGUAGGCGGUUUGUCGCGUCUGCCGUGAAAGUCCGGGGCUCAACUCCGGAUCUGCGGUGGGUACGGGCAGACUAGAGUGAUGUAGGGGAGACUGGAAUUCCUGGUGUAGCGGUGAAAUGCGCAGAUAUCAGGAGGAACACCGAUGGCGAAGGCAGGUCUCUGGGCAUUAACUGACGCUGAGGAGCGAAAGCAUGGGGAGCGAACAGGAUUAGAUACCCUGGUAGUCCAUGCCGUAAACGUUGGGCACUAGGUGUG
rnacentral:rRNA from 1 species